AUCCAUAUGACGAGUUCCAAAUGGGACGAAACGCGCAUCCUGGAU
rnacentral:hammerhead_ribozyme from 1 species